CCAGCAAAGGACCUGACGAUACUGAAAGCGUGUUUGGGGCUGGUAUCCUGGGACCUUCACGUGGUGGCCCUGUUUAAACUAAUCUUACCAGGAUGUGCUUCCAGAAGGGUUACAUCUAAAAACAAGGUACACGCUACCACGGAUGAGAAGCUUACUGGAGAGAAGAGGGAAAGUAGCGAUGAACCAACGACUUCAGGGGAAUCCAAUCGUCCAAUCCAAGUAUGGGCUCUGAGAAACACGCAGGAGACAAGAUCUGCCGCAGUCAUUGUUAGCAAGAACUACCAGUUUAAUAAGGUGGACCACACAGACAGCAUGAUAGCCUUGCAGAGGAGAGCGUUUCUCACGAGUAGAUUUACAACUGACUGACCAAUCAACCUUCAUCGGAACUUUCUGAAGUAGUGGUGGUUGGAAAGUGGUGGUGGGAAAGCUAGAUUUUCAGGGAGGUUGCUGACAGCCAGGUGAUGACCAGCAUCUUUCACCAGUAGUCUCCUGGUCUUCCACUGCAUCUCCAAUUUCUUGCCACCACAGACGGAUGUUUCAGUGAAGUAGUUUUGCUCCAACCUCUCUGCCAUCUGCCAUGCGAUGGGCGCUAGAGCACAUCCCGUUGAGGAAGUCGGUAGCUAGGGGUGGAGGAGCAAAGUUCAAGUUAACAACGCUGAUGUUUAAUGGUAGCUACUAGAGAUCCUGGAUGCUGACUCUGCCUAGGUUUUCACAAUACCUGGACCUCAAAGAUGAGCUGCUUUUGAUGCUGAAAUGCACUGACACGGCACUACUUUGUGACAUCACACAUCAGUCUUUGAUAAGACAGGACCUGAGUAACCUGAGUAAGUCAUCAGACGUCUGUUAUCAGAACCACAAGAAGAGGAACACAUGUGUUUCAGGUUUUCCUGCUCAUACCAAGAAGACGUUGCUCUUGAUGCUGGAAUGCCCUGAAACUGCACCACUUUGUGAGGACAUCAAACAUCAGAGAAACUACAUCCAAGGUGCCUUGGGCCUAUUUAGAAUGUACUAGGCUGUUAAAUGAGAACAAAAGGUUAUAUGGGCAAUUCCAUGCUGGUGGAGACACAAGAACAGACAAUUAUUUCACGGUUUGUUUAAGUCUGAUUUGCUGAAGUGACACAAUAUAUUUUGGCGUUUUUAAAACUGAAAUAGUUUCGUCCCAUGCGCGCACUAUUUUGUGAGUUACGGUACACCAUCACAUCAAAGUCUGCAAUGACUUCAUGAUGACCUAUGGAUGCACUGGUAAGGAAUUUUGUAUUAGUCUUUUGCUAUCUAUUCAGUAAUAAUUUUUCUCAAUAUUUUGUUACCAUUUUUAGGGCGUCUUUGUGAAAAUAGAUAUUAUUUUUAAGUUGCUAAUUUUCGUCAGACUUUGCUUGUUAAAUGAGAUACAAAUUUAGUUAUUUAUAAUUCACCAAAACAGAUCUUUUUUCUUUGUAAAUACAUGUACCUACAUUUUUUGACUAAUGAAUAAUUAUGUUAAAAGUUUCUUAGCUUGAUUUCUGACAAGUAUAUUUUAAAAAAAUAUCAUUUUGUUUACAUUUUAGUGGUAAUGCUUAUAGGCCAGCCAUGAAAUAUUGUAAUGUCGGCCACAUGUAAUGUCAUGCAGUCACAAUCUCUUAGCGUAACGUAAUGUCAGUCACAUUAUUGCACAGUCCGUAGUUGAGGAAAAUGCAAGUACACAUGUUAUUUAAGUCCAUACACAUACAAGUAGUAAACUCUUUGAACCAAAAUGCAACUGAUUGCCAAGCCACUGUCUGAUCAACUUAUAUAUUUUUUACAAAACAAGUCUUUUUAAAAUUUAAUUUGGACAUCUGUAACCCUUUGAUAAAAUGAAAAAUAUAUUUGAUUUGCUUUUGGGCAUUAGUAGUCUAUCAUUGUCCAUUCUGAUGGGGUGGGGUGGGGGAAGUCUUCCCUGUGAGAACUGAAUUAUUGUUUGGCCCCAAAUAGUUUGAUAUUCAUAAUUCCCUAUUUAUUACUUAACAUUGGCUAACUUAUUUCAUUUGUUUUGUUGUUGGUAAAUUGGAUAACUUUGGUAUUGCUAGAAAAAUAGCAAGUAAAAUUGU
rnacentral:misc_RNA from 1 species